rnacentral:tRNA from 1 species
GCCCGGGUGGCGGAACUGGCAGACGCGUACGUUUGAGGGGCGUAUGGUUCACACCGUGUGGGUUCGAUUCCCACCCCGGGCA